UACGGAGGGUGCGAGCGUUAAUCGGAAUUACUGGGCGUAAAGAGCACGUAGGUGGUUUGGUAAGUCGGAUGUGAAAGCCCCGGGCAUUAACCCUGGGAAUUGCAUUCGAAACUGCCUCACUAGAGUCUAGCAGAGGGAUGCGGAAUUCCGGGGUGUAGCGGUGAAAUGCGGUAGAAGAUCCGGAGGAACAUCAGU
rnacentral:rRNA from 1 species